CCUACGGGAGGCAGCAGUCGAGAAUCAUUCACAAUGGGGGAAACCCUGAUGGUGCGACGCCGCGUGGGGGAAUGAAGGUCUUCGGAUUGUAAACCCCUGUCAUGUGGGAGCAAAUUAAAAAGAUAGUACCACAAGAGGAAGAGACGGCUAACUCUGUGCCAGCAGCCGCGGUAAUACAGCGGUCUCAAGCGUUGUUCGGAAGCACUGGGCGUAAGGCGUGCGUAGGCUGUUGCGUAAGUCGUGUGUGAAAGGCGCGGGCUCAACCCGCGGACGGCACCUGAUACUGCGAGGCGAGAGUAGUGGAGGGGGAGGCGGAAUUCUCGGUGUAGCGGUGAAAUGCGUAGAUAUCGAGAGGAACACUCGUGGCGAAGGCGGGUUGCUGGACAUUAACUGACGCUGAGGCACGAAGGCCAGGGGAGCGAAAGGGAUUAGAUACCCUUGUAGUC
rnacentral:rRNA from 1 species